rnacentral:rRNA from 1 species
UACGAGGGGGGCGAGCGUUGUUCGGAAUUAUUGGGCGGAAAGGGUGCGUAGGCGGUUUGGUAAGUCUCUUGUGAAAUCUAUGGGCUCAACUCAUAGUCUGCAAGGGAAACUGCCGGGCUUGAGUGUGGGAGAGGUGAGUGGAAUUUCCGGUGUAGCGGUGAAAUGCGUAGAUAUCGGAAGGAACACCUGUGGCGAAAGCGGCUCACUGGACCACAACUGACGCUGAUGCACGAAAGCUAGGGGAGCAAACAGG